GCAUGGCGCUGUUAUGUCCAUAUGACUUCCAGACCAGAGCAGGGUUUCAGCCAGCCUCCUCCAAGAUGGUUACGGUGACUUGUGGUCUGUGUAGUGAUGAUCAUGGACAUAGGAGCCAGCUGGCAAAAGACCUGAAUCACAGUCUCUCAAAAUCAAUUUUCAUGGGCUUCAAUGGGAUUUGAAUCAGGCUCUUCAUGCUGAAGUUUCCAUUACUGAGUGCCAGUAAUUGGGUCAGCUAUUCAAAAGCGCACAGCACUUACAAUUCUUGUAAUAUCAUUGGUAGUCAUGUUUUCUAGGGAGCCCAAAAGACCUGGUGUGUUUAGGUUAAAGAGUGAGCAUUCACAAAAGUUUUUAUUUGUAUCUAAGGCGUGCAGCAUUAUUAAAUGUUCAUCUUUCACAUAUGCCCUGGGUAAUUCUGGAAAUGAUAAAAUGUUCUGUGGUCCUGAUAAAUGUUGCUUUCACAUACGCAUCUCUGAUAGAUUUUGGAACUUGCUAAUACAUUUCUGAGGGGAGCAGAAACCAUUUCAGCAGUUACAUAAAUUCUGAAUUUUCCUUCCUUCCUCCUACUUGUUUGUUUCUAAUAAACAUAAAACUUCUAAUUUCCUUUGCACUCUGGCAUGCUAGAAAUUAAGAGAGUAAGUGCUCAUGCUGUUUUUCUUUGCCUGGGUCUGGCUUAUACAACAGAUUUUUACUCUGUAAGACAGAUUUUGCUGUAUUUGUGCUUUUUUCAUCUCCCCCUGAGGAGUGUUAACUCAAAGCAAUCACAAGACACCCAUCCUUGCCUGCUGCUUCUUGAGCUGUUAUGUCUUCUUCUUUGCUGCCUACUUCUCUAUUUGAAGCUUUUUUUUUAAUAGGAAAAAGCAACAUUCAAAAAAACUAAAGGCUGUCUCCUUUCCUAAAAUGGUAACUUUGAUGUGAAAAGCUUAAACACGCAAAAGCACUUCUGUUCCUAUAGCAUCUACUUUUAAGAGCUUUUUCUUUCCACUCAGAUGAGCUCUGUACAGAACAGGAUCGCAGAAGGAAGCUGUGGGCACCCUUGGAAAAUCUGAGCUGCUUGUGAAGCUGUAGACACUGCAUGUUUAUGGACUUGGUUUUCUAAGCGAUCUCCAAAGCUUGAACGGAUUACAGUGAUAUUUUAACAAGGCUGCUGGCAUCCAUCACUAGCUUUCACUUACUGAGAAAGCUAAAAGAUGGAAGAGUGUAAUUAUUUCCACGUAAGCUAAAUUCUAGUGGCUGAUUAUCACGAGGACAUUAACACUUUAAACUUCUUAAUCUCCUCUAAGCCAAACAGUCCCUCUGAUGACACUACGAAUCUGGGAGUGAAGAACUUCUUAGAGCUGAUUGGAAAUGGCAUUGCAGAGCUGAAACUUAACUGGAGGAAAUAUAUCUCCUGAAGAAGAAAAUAUAAUGCACUUUAAGGAUCUGACUUCUAGUGAAAAAUUCAAGCAUAGAGAAAACUUGUCCACUUUGUUAGGAAGAAUGGGUUGGACAAUUUUCUUCAAUUCCAAAGGAUAUCUGAAUGCCAUGCUGAGCUUAAUCUCUGCAGCAUGCUCUGUGCUUCUCAUCUCUUCCUGAUGCACUGCAUGGUUAUCCUGAAGGGGAGGAUAAAAAAACUGGCCACCAAGAUGGUAAUCACUAGUGGAAAUGAUGAAGAUAAAGGCAAUCAAGAAAAGGAAAGCAAAGAAGAAACCAUUCUGGCAAUGCUUGGAAUUAUUGGGACAAUUCUGAAUCUCAUUGUGAUCAUUUUUGUAUAUAUUUACACAACAUUGUGAACUAGAAGGCAUGCAAAUAGGACAGAUAAAAUGGCCAUUAAGGGUGACAACAAACAUUGCUGACUAUUGACAAGUUGUUUAAUCAAAAUUGACUCUGUAUUAUAUUAACACAUCAUAAAAGCACUGCCUGCAGGCAGCAAAGGCUGAAGCACAAUUAAUUUAACAAGACUUUUGCACAUAGUAACAAGCUGAACUCCUCUGUCCUGCCCUCUUCCUUUUGGUUUGGUCCUUGGUUUGAGGGGAAAUGACUACAAUUAUGUAAGGAGUAGCUUUGAAGAAAUCCACGAGGGAUAUGUUGUUUUAACACA